rnacentral:rRNA from 1 species
GUCUUUUUGAUUAUAAUUUAAAGUCUAGCCUGCCCACUGAAAUUUUAAAUGGCCGCGGUAUAUUAACCGUGCGAAGGUAGCAUAAUCAUUAGUUUUUUAAUUGAAAGCUGGAAUGAAUGGUUGGAUGAGAAAAUAACUGUCUCAAUUUAAUUUUAUUAGAAUUUUAUUUUUAAGUUAAAAAGCUUAAAUAAUUUUAAAAGACGAGAAGACCCUAUAGAGUUUAAUAUUUUUAUUAUAAUUAAUUAUUUGGAAUUAAAUUUUUAAUAUAAUAAAAGUAUUUAAUUGGGGUGAUUAAAAAAUUGAAUGAACUUUUUUUUUAUUAUUACAAUGAUAAUUGAAUAAUUGAUCCAUAAUUUAUGAUUAUAAGAUAAAAUUACCUUAGGGAUAACAGCGUAAUUUUUUUUGAGAGUUCUUAUCGAAAAAAGAGAUUGCGACCUCGAUGUUGGAUUAAAGAUGGUAUUUGGUGUAGAAGUUAAAUAACCAGGUCUGUUCGACCUUUAAAUCUUUACA